rnacentral:rRNA from 1 species
UACGUAGGGGGGCAAGCGUUGUCCGGAUUUAUUGGGCGUAAAGAGCGUGUAGGCGGUUUGGUAGGUCCGCUGUGAAAACUCGAGGCUCAACCUCGAGACGCCGGUGGAAACCAUCAGACUAGAGUCCGGAAGAGGAGAGUGGAAUUCCCUGGUGUAGCGGUGAAAUGCGCAGAUAUCAGGAAGAACACCCGUGGCGUAAGGCGGCUCUCUAGUACGGUACUGACGCUGAGACGCGAAAGCGUGGGGAGCGAAC